rnacentral:rRNA from 1 species
AACUUUGAGCGGUGGAUCACCCGGCUCAUGCUUCGUUGAAGAGUGCAGACAACUGUGUGAAUUAAUGUGAACUGAAUACUGCUUUGAACAUCGACAUCUUGAACGCAUAUCCUGUGGCCACGUCUGUCCGAGGGUCA